rnacentral:lncRNA from 1 species
UGAAAAUAAAGAAAAGUUUGGUAUAAUACAAAAACGAUCGAUUUAUCAAACUACAGCCUCAUGCUUUUCCUGACGUUUGUUGCAUGAAAAGAUUCGCAAAAAUGCCUGAAUGUUUGCUGAAACUGAGUUUUUCUUUCCGUCAUUAUCAAUGUUUUCCAUGGUUUGGGACUCUUUCUUCUUUUCAUCUUUGUUUUUCUUUGCCUCUUUCUU